GUGCUGGACUGCUCAUAGACUUAUCCUCUCCAAGUGAAAUAUUUGAAUUCAGCAAAAGUGGUGGCCCCAAGGCAAGACAACUACUGGAAGAAUUAAUGUCAGCAGAUUAGAGCACUUCUCCAAGCAGGACCAGUUAGUUGCUAAUGUAGAGAGAAAGCUGAGCCAACAUAUGGUUGCGCAGAAAAAGAGCGGGCAGCUUUCAGAGAUCUUUCAGAGAUUUCAGCAUUGCAGUAACUUGACUCCUACAUAGUGAUGUCAUUUUGGUCGUCUUUGAGAAUGAAGGACAGCAACCAACCAACCAAAGUUGAGAGGAGGUGUAUGGGAUUUGUGACAUUGCAAGCUCUCUUGCCUUCCCCUCACCUCAAGUUCCCCAGCUCCAACUAAACAAAGAGGCAGGAAGGUUGCCAUUAGCCAUGAAGUGGCUCCUCAUCACCAUUGCCCUCACCCUUCUUGUUACAGGAUCUAAGAGGGCACACUCAGAAGUUCAAAAAAACAGCUCCAGUAGUCCGAGUUGUCCAUCAUGUGCAAAAGCCAGGAAUGAAGACAAAGAAAAAAGAAAUGCUGAGGGAAAGACAGAUGAACCUCUUACAUCUGAACUUGCAGGGCAGCAACGUUUGCUGCCACCAUUUUCAUGGCAAGACUUGAAAGAGGAAUGGAACAGACCAUUUUCACCUGCUUUGUCAGAGGAGGAAAUAGCUAAAAAAAAUGAUUCCAAUGGCUUACUCUGCCCAUCUUGCAAUGUGCUAGGAGCUCAGCGAAUCUGCAAGGAAGAAUUCAAGUGGUGUAUCCACCAGAACAAGAGUUGCCUCACUAUUUACGGAAACACAAAAAUGGACAGGCAGGGUUCUAGGCUCCAUGGAUUAAAAGCCUGAACCAGGGGGUUAGAAGAGAAGGCAAGAGAAAAGAGAGAAGGGAAAGCUCAUUUCUGGUUCCUUGUGGGUGAGUCUUACUAUGACAUAAUAAUGAAGAGCUGUGGCACUGAAGAAGAUUGUCAAGGAGAAAUUAAGACUUUAUAUGGUUUCCCAUUCCAGACUAAGGAGAAAAUGUGUGUGAAUGCUAGACCCUUUUUUGAAUCCAAAGGCCCAGUUUUGUUCUCCUUUCCAGCUCUACUGGUCUUCCUUCCAUGGGUGCUGCUUUUCGGAGUAACCUUAUGGCAGAUUUAGCCAGCCAGCCACUAAAUCACAGAAACUGAAAUUUCUAAUUAG
rnacentral:lncRNA from 1 species